GUCUCUUUCGUCUAGUGGUUAGGACGUUGCCUUUUCACGGCGUAGACGCGGGUUCAAAUCCCGUAGGAGAU
rnacentral:tRNA from 1 species